rnacentral:rRNA from 1 species
GACGAACGCUGGCGGCGUGCCUAAUACAUGCAAGUCGAGCGCAGGAAGCCGUCUGAACCCUUCGGGGGGACGACGGUGGAAUGAGCGGCGGACGGGUGAGUAACACGUAAAGAACCUGCCCAUAGGUCUGGGAUAACCACGAGAAAUCGGGGCUAAUACCGGAUGUGUCAUCGGACCGCAUGGUCCGCUGAUGAAAGGCGCUCCGGCGUCGCCCAUAGAUGGCUUUGCGGUGCAUUAGCUAGUUGGAGGGGUAACGGCCCACCAAGGCGACGAUGCAUAGCCGACCGGAGAGGGUGAUCGGCCACACUGGGACUGAGACACGGCCCAGACUCCUACGGGAGGCAGCAGUAGGGAAUCUUCCACAAUGGACGAAAGUCUGAUGGAGCAACGCCGCGUGAACGAUGAAGGCUUUCGGGUCGUAAAGUUCUGUUGUAAGGGAAGAACAAGUGCCGCAGGAAAUGGCGGCACCUUGACGGUACCUUGCGAGAAAGCCACGGCUAACUACGUGCCAGCCGCCGCAGUAA